rnacentral:rRNA from 1 species
UACAGGGGGUGCGAGCGUUAAUCGGAAUUACUGGGCGUAAAGCGUGCGUAGACGGUUUCGUAAGUCGGGUGUGAAAUCCCCGGGCUCAACCUGGGAAUUGCGUUCGAAACUGCGAGGCUAGGGUACGGAAGAGGGAAGCGGAAUUUCUGGUGUAGCGGUGAAAUGCGUAGAUAUCAGGAGGAAUACCGAUGGCGAAGGCAGGUCUCUGGGCUGACACUGACGCUCAUGCACGAAAGCGUGGGGAGCAAACAGG